CGGGGUGUAGUAUAAUGGUAGUACGCAUGCAUGGGGUGCAUGUAGCCGGAGUUCAAUUCUCCGCACCCCGACCA
rnacentral:tRNA from 1 species